CUGGUGUUGCAGCUUAUUUGUCGUUGUUAGAGCUGAGCCUAACAACCCAGGAGCAUACACAAGAGGUAUUCUCAGUCCUUCCAGUGAGAGGGAAGGGUUUGGGCAGGAGUGUGUACCUUCAGUGGAUCAAUGCUUGGUUCAUGGCUGGAGUCACAAAAAGUAGUUUGGCUUCUGCAUGCAUGCAGUCAUUUUGGAGGACCAAGGACUUGAAAGCAGGAGCCAGAUCCAUCUGACAAAGUGUGGGAAGAGUGUCUUCAGCCAGUUUCAAACCUAGUGAGGACACCUUGAAGCUGGUUCCCAAUAGCUCCUUAAGGGUAGAUUCAGAAACUAAAGGAUGAUUAGGAUUAUGCUCUGAACACCCAGUGUCAGAGGGACACUACUGCCUGUGGACACUGGCCUCCCCAAUCUUCUGGCUUCUGGUGAAACAUCUACAAACAGCAGGGCAGAGCUGGCACCAUGGCUUUCCAAGUGGGCUGAGCCUGGACAAUGCUUACCCUACAGCAACUCUCUCUAUAAGGAGUAUAAUGAGACUGGACUUCAUAUCCAUGACCUGCAAUUCCACUUCAGCACAACAGUUUGUAUUAGGUGCACAGCAGAAGAGGAGGUGUUUCCCCUGAAGGGAAUUGACAGAAAACAGAUACUGUGUGGCAGCCUUGGAGAUUUGUAAUGCAAAAAGACCACCAGAGUUUGCUCCUUUAAUAGAGAGAGAAGACAAUUAAGUGCACUUAGAAUAAUCCCUCUGAAGUAAAGGGCAUGUUGGAAGCUGUUGGGAUAGACAUAUGUGGCUUCCUACUGAGAAGGAGGUGGGAGAAUGGAGACUGGAAUAUACUGAGCCCCCAUGAGGAAGGAUGCGGAAGCUUUAACAGAACAGUGCAAGAGCAAAAAGCCUCAUCUGUUUUUAUCCUCUCCUCUCCCUGUGCUCUUUUGACUCUUGCCUUAUUUUUAUUUUCUCCUGAUGUUUUUGCUCCUUUUUCCACGUUAUUGUUUGAAUUCACUUCCUUUCUUCCUCACUUGCAUCUCCAUAAUCUCCCUAUCCUCAGCCAUACCCUUGAUCCACAGUAUCUUUCCUUUCAUUCCCCAUCUGACCUUCAAGUCUCUUUAUCCUCUCUACCUGUCCCAUUAAGGCAAUACACUGCAAUACACUGAGGUAGAGCAGAGCAGUUUGUUGACUGGAAGCAAUGUAUCCUCAAGAAAAUCUCUUCUCUUGCCCCCUUGUGUCCUUUUGUGCACUAGUGCACGAAGUUGGUUGUAGCAUCAGAAACAAUGACUUUGCUUACAUAUUCUUUCCUUUUCUAUCUCUCUCUCUUCUCCUUCUUUCCCCUGUAUCCUUCAUAUUUUGCAUGAACUUGAACAGUGUCAUAGCCUCCAUCUGAUUACAAAUUAGUGUGUAUCUGUCAAAGCGAGCAGACGGGGUUGGAUUAAAGGCUCAUAUCAAUGCAAAAUAAAAAGGAAGCUUUUUUCUUUUUUUUAGUAGGAGCCAGGCUUGAUACAGAAUGAUGAAAAAGUAGAGUAGAUUAUUAAUGAGGACAAGGAAAUGGUAGCAGAAGUGCACUUCAUAAGCCUACAGCCCUUACAUACCUUUUAUGCAUUUCUGCAGUAUCUGCUAGAAUAAUAGAAAGGAGCUGCUGCAGGCAAAGGCAUAGACAAAUUACAACUCAUUGGUAAUAACUAUAUUCAGAAGAGGUCUGAAAUAUGCUCAGAUGCUGUCCUGUGAGACAUUAAAUUAUACUGUUAUUGCAUUAACCUAUGGUUAGUUACUGCUUGGUCACAACCAAACUGCACUGUCUUGGGCAGUUGCUUUGCACAAGGACAGUAGGGGUCUGAACAUCUUCAGACAAGUCUAUAUGGCCGGAUACAGAUAAACCUGUGCUCUCUCUGGCCAUGCUCAAAUUUUUUGGGGGGCAGUGCAACAGGAAGCUCCGUGGCAUAUAUCCUCGCUAGUAUGACACUGUAACACAGGGAAUAUGCAGCUGGACGGUAUAAGGGUGUGCAGCCAUGUGCUUGACCAUUUUACAAGUAGAUCUUGGCGGAAAUGAGCUUCCUGACCCCUGUGUAAGAACAUCUGUAUAUACAUAUGUGUGUGUGAGUGUAUUUAAGUAUAAUAUAUGUGUGUAUUUAUCUAUGCAUACACACAUAUACAUGAAGUAUGUAAAAAUAUGUAAAUUUAGGACAGACCUAGAGGUUGGGGUUCUUUUUCCUUAAGAGAAAGCAAGCAGUGAGUAAGAGAUCCCUUUCAUAUCUCUGAGUAGUGCUGAAGUGCUGUUUUGCAAAUUCCUUUCUUUUUUUUUUUUUCUUUUGGAUUUGGAGUGAUGAUAGCAGCUCACCUUUUCUCUUCUCCUCUGACUGUGUCCUGUGCACAAAGACUUUGGCUGAUGAGGGGCCCAGCUCUACCCUGGGCUUGACAAACCAUCAGGCUUCGUCCUCAUACUGGUUAAUACAGGAAAUUCCCAGAAAAUCAUACUGAGAAUCCAAUUUUCAGCCAGCCUAAUAGCACUUAAAUGUCUAAGUCACAUCUGAUUUUAAGUCAUUACAGCUUAAACAUGUUCUCUUCAGUCUGCUUUGUGUCCCUGUCUCCUCCCUGUCAAGUGGAGAAAAAGAAUUUCUGUCUUUCACAGAUGUUGUGGGGACUGAAGAUCAUAUGAGAUGAGUCACUCUAUGUAUGCAGCAACAGCUCACAGGCUCCACUGACCUGAAUGCAAAAAGCAUACUGGACUGGGGAAGGAGGAUAAUAAAACCAAUGUUUGGUUUGCUGUCAAGGACCAGAAGCAGGAGACAAAUGUGUGUCCCUCCUGCACCAUAAUGGCAGUGAGAGCAGCUACACUUGCUGGGA